rnacentral:lncRNA from 1 species
AAAAGAGGGUGCUUCAGAUUAGAUUCAUCAGGCAAAGAGGAGGGAAUUUUUCCAGAUGGCUCCUACACACACCUGAACAUGAAUGUGCCUGUUUGGUUGUGUGGCUGCAAGUCAGGAAAGACAAAGACUCUUCUGCCUGGAUUUGAAAUCAGAAAAGGAGGAGACUGGGGAAGGGGAGGGGAAGGAGCUGACAACAUCUCCAGGUAUGUUUGGAGAUUAGCACAAAGGCGAGGAACAACUCUACCACUGAGCCAGGCUGAAGCUGAGGAACAAAGACUGUGAGUGUCUUAAAGGCCAUUCUAGAUCUUCCCAGUGGACAAGAUUCAACACCUGGCAUGGGUCCACAACAUUGGGAAUCCUAGGAAUAUUUAAUUCCAUUUCUACAGCAUUGUAUAUUGUUCAGCUGCUUCACAGCCUUUUGUGCUUGCCUGCUUCAGCUCAUGAUCCCGAUGGAGAGCAAUGCUAAGAAGGGAUUGGGAGACUUUAAUGGCAUGGAGAAAUCACAGGCACAGUCUGCAGGCUUAGAGAAGGGUUCAAAGGAAGAGGAAACAAGGCGGCCAGUGGCACAGUGGACAGCAGCCGAAGUGUGUGCCUGGCUCAGAGGAAAAACCUUGGGAACUCCAGGCAGCCCACUGCUGGAGGCAGCCAAUAGCCAUGCCAUCUCUGGCAAGGCUCUCUUGCGCCUCUCCGAGGAAACCCUGGAGCGCAUGGGCAUAACAUCGAAGAGCCUGCGGGAGGAGCUAUUGCAAGAGAUUCUCCUCCUGCGCAUUCAGCAAGAAAUGGAAGAUUUGCUGGACAUUUCAGAUGAAUAA